rnacentral:rRNA from 1 species
CGAGCGGACGGAUGGGAGCUUGCUCCCUGAAGUUAGCGGCGGACGGGUGAGUAACACGUGGGCAACCUGCCCUGCAGAUGGGGAUAACUCCGGGAAACCGGGGCUAAUACCGAAUAAUCAGUUCCUCCGCAUGGAGGAACUCUGAAAGACGGUUUCGGCUGUCACUGCAGGAUGGGCCCGCGGCGCAUUAGCUAGUUGGUGGGGUAACGGCCUACCAAGGCGACGAUGCGUAGCCGACCUGAGAGGGUGAUCGGCCACACUGGGACUGAGACACGGCCCAGACUCCUACGGGAGGCAGCAGUAGGGAAUCUUCCACAAUGGACGGAAGUCUGAUGGAGCAACGCCGCGUGAGCGAAGAAGGUUUUCGGAUCGUAAAGCUCUGUUGUAAGGGAAGAACACGUACGGGAGUCACUGCCCGUACCUUGACGGUACCUUAUCAGAAAGCCACGGCUAACUACGUGCCAGCAGCCGCGGUAAUACGUAGGUGGCAAGCGUUGUCCGGAAUUAUUGGGCGUAAAGCGCGCGCAGGCGGUCCUUUAAGUCUGAUGUGAAAGCCCACGGCUCAACCGUGGAGGGUCAUUGGAAACUGGAGGACUUGAGUACAGAAGAGGAAAGCGGAAUUCCACGUGUAGCGGUGAAAUGCGUAGAGAUGUGGAGGAACACCAGUGGCGAAGGCGGCUUUCUGGUCUGUAACUGACGCUGAGGCGCGAAAGCGUGGGGAGCAAACAGGAUUAGA